rnacentral:rRNA from 1 species
GUGAGGAAUAUUGGUCAAUGGGCGAGAGCCUGAACCAGCCAAGUCGCGUGAAGGAAGACGGCCCUACGGGUUGUAAACUUCUUUUGCAAUGGAAUAAAAAGAGUUACGUGUAAUUCAUUGUAUGUACAUUGCGAAUAAGGAUCGGCUAACUCCGUGCCAGCAGCCGCGGUAAUACGGAGGAUCCGAGCGUUAUCCGGAUUUAUUGGGUUUAAAGGGUGCGUAGGCGGAUUGGAAAGUCAGCGGUGAAAGUUUGCAGCUUAACUGUAAAAUUGCCAUUGAAACUGUCAGUCUUGAGUGCAAAUGAGGUAGGCGGAAUGUGUUGUGUAGCGGUGAAAUGCAUAGAUAUAACACAGAACACCAAUUGCGAAGGCAGCUUACUGGGAUGCAACUGACGCUGAGGCACGAAAGCGUGGGGAUCAAACAGGAUUAGAUACCCGAGUAGUCC